UGCUGCAUGGCUGUCGUCAGCUCGUGUCGUGAGAUGUUCGGUUAAGUCCGCUAACGAGCGCAACCCUCGCUGUGUGUUACAAGUGUCACACGGAACUGCCGGUCAUAAACCGGAGGAAGGUGGGGAUGACGUCAAGUCAGCAUGGCCUUUAUAUCCUGGGCUACACACACGCUACAAUGGGAAGGGACAAUAGGUUGCGAAGCCGCGAGGCGGAGCCAAUCCAGCAAAACUUCCCUCAGUUCAGAUUGCAGGCUGCAACCCGCCUGCAUGAAGUUGGAGUUGCUAGUAAACGCAGGUCAGCCAUACUGCGUUGAAUACGUUCCCGGGGCUU
rnacentral:rRNA from 1 species